GACGAACGUUGGCGGCGUGCCUAAUACAUGCCAGUUGAGCGCUGAAGGUUGGUACUUGUACCAACUGGAUGAGCAGCGAACGGGUGAGUAACGCGUGGGGAAUCUGCCUUUGAGCGGGGGACAACAUUUGGAAACGAAUGCUAAUACCGCAUAAAAACUUUAAACACAAGUUUCAAGUUUGAAAGAUGCAAUUGCAUCACUCAAAGAUGAUCCCGCGUUGUAUUAGCUAGUUGGUGAGGUAAAGGCUCACCAAGGCGAUGAUACAUAGCCGACCUGAGAGGGUGAUCGGCCACAUUGGGACUGAGACACGGCCCAAACUCCUACGGGAGGCAGCAGUAGGGAAUCUUCGGCAAUGGACGAAAGUCUGACCGAGCAACGCCGCGUGAGUGAAGAAGGUUUUCGGAUCGUAAAACUCUGUUGGUAGAGAAGAACGUUGGUGAGAGUGGAAAGCUCAUCAAGUGACGGUAACUACCCAGAAAGGGACGGCUAACUACGUG
rnacentral:rRNA from 1 species